rnacentral:rRNA from 1 species
AGUGAACGCUGGCGGUAGGCCUAACACAUGCAAGUCGAACGGCAGCACAGUAAGAGCUUGCUCUUACGGGUGGCGAGUGGCGGACGGGUGAGGAAUACAUCGGAAUCUACUUUUUCGUGGGGGAUUACGUAGGGAAACUUACGCUAAUACCGCAUACGACCUACGGGUGAAAGCAGGGGAUCUUCGGACCUUUCGCGAUUGAAUGAGCCGAUGUCGGAUUAGCUAGUUGGCGGGGUAAAGGCCCACCAAGGCGACGAUCCGUAGCUGGUCUGAGAGGAUGAUCAGCCACACUGGAACUGAGACACGGUCCAGACUCCUACGGGAGGCAGCAGUGGGGAAUAUUGGACAAUGGGCGCAAGCCUGAUCCAGCCAUACCGCGUGGGUGAAGAAGGCCUUCGGGUUGUAAAGCCCUUUUGUUGGGAAAGAAAAGCAGCAGGUUAAUACCCCGCUGUUCUGACGGUACCCAAAGAAUAAGCACCGGCUAACUUCGUG